rnacentral:misc_RNA from 2 species
ACCCACCUCAAGCCUCGCUUGGUGUUGGGCGUCGCGGCCGCCGCGCGCCCUAAUGUCCCCGGCCGAGCCGGCCGUCCCGAAGCGUUGUGGCGUCUACUGUGCCGCUUCCGGGACCGGUCUGGCGGUGUGCCGUCAAACCCCCUUCAAA